GAUGAACGCUGGCGGCGUGCCUAAUACAUGCAAGUCGAGCGAACAGAUAAGGAGCUUGCUCCUUUGACGUUAGCGGCGGACGGGUGAGUAACACGUGGGUAACCUACCUAUAAGACUGGGAUAACUUCGGGAAACCGGAGCUAAUACCGGAUAACAUUUGGAACCGCAUGGUUCUGAAGUGAAAGAUGGUUUUGCUAUCACUUAUAGAUGGACCCGCGCCGUAUUAGCUAGUUGGUAAGGUAACGGCUUACCAAGGCGACGAUACGUAGCCGACCUGAGAGGGUGAUCGGCCACACUGGAACUGAGACACGGUCCAGACUCCUACGGGAGGCAGCAGUAGGGAAUCUUCCGCAAUGGGCGAAAGCCUGACGGAGCAACGCCGCGUGAGUGAUGAAGGGUUUCGGCUCGUAAAACUCUGUUAUUAGGGAAGAACAAACGUGUAAGUAACUGUGCACGUCUUGACGGUACCUAAUCAGAAAGCCACGGCUAACUACGUG
rnacentral:rRNA from 1 species